rnacentral:rRNA from 1 species
UACGUAGGGUCCGAGCGUUGUCCGGAAUUAUUGGGCGUAAAGAGCUCGUAGGCGGUUUGUCGCGUCUGCUGUGAAAUCCCGAGGCUCAACCUCGGGCCUGCAGUCGAUACGGGCAGACUAGAGUGUGGUAGGGGAGACUGGAAUUCCUGGUGUAGCGGUGAAAUGCGCAGAUAUCAGGAGGAACACCGGUGGCGAAGGCGGGUCUCUGGGCCAUAACUGACGCUGAGGAGCGAAAGCGUGGGGAGCGAACAGG